rnacentral:lncRNA from 1 species
GGGGCAAUUAAUAACUAAAAUAGAUCAUUAAAACACAAAAAUAAGGGUCAAAAUACAAUGCGUGUGAACGUACGAGGAUUGAAAAUGUAAAUAAUCCGAAUAUCAAAAUGCAAUGCUUAAGUGCGGAUCCAAUUGAAUUGGCGCACAAAUUCUGUGGGCAAAAUUAAAAAACAAAGAAAUCUGAAGUAGGCUUGAUCGCGCGAUAACGCGAAAGGAGGGGACCAAUUGAGCAAAUUGACCAUCUACAACAAAUAACCAAACAUUUCCCUUUUGAAACGGUGUUGUUUCUUCACUUUUAUAAAACCAAAUAUUUCCUUUAAAAAAUAAAGAAAACAAUCAGCCCCUUUUAAAAUAACCCUAGCCCCUUUUUAUUUCCCUAUGCUUUUCUCCUCUUUUGGCCGAUUCUCAUCUCCAGUCCCUUUGUUUCUCCCUCAAUCGUUCCCAAAAUCCCUUCAUUCAAACUCCAAUCAACCUCCAUGAGCAGCGAUCGGUUCAUUCAAGCCUUGAAGGGUGUUUUUUAGCCUCAAGAUCCCCUUAAACUUCACUUUCGACGAAGUAAGAAUGAACCGAUGGCCAAAUCACAAGGCAUUGUCCCCUUUCUCCUUUCCCUUUGCUUUUAAAUACAAUAACGAAAGAUUGAAAAAGAAAGUGAGAAGAUUCAACGGAAAACUAAAGCAACUAGAAAAUCGAAAAUCACCUUUAAAAAAUGCUUUUGAAUUUUUCUUUUCAAUAUGCUUUUUUCAGUGUGCCUCUAUUCCAUCCCAUUUUACAUUGUUUACAAAUGGCCUUUUAUAGUCGAAAAAUAAAAUAAAUAAAUAAAUAAAUAAUACAAAUUUCAUUGCUGUCAUUUUGUUGUUAUUUGCUGCUUUCCCCUUUUGUUUGUUAGUUUGUUGCAGGUGUGUAUGGCGUGGAGGAACGAAGAUCGUUACGUGAAGACUGGUUCUGUUGAGGCUGCGGCACGCGUGAGCUUGGUGGCUUAGGGUUUCUUGAGUAUUUUUUGUUUUGGGCUGGGAUUUGGGUUAGGGAUUUAUUUUAUUUUGGGCUAAUGAUUUGCUUGUAAGUGGGUUAGAUAAUUGGGUUUGUAAUAGGGACAUUGGACUUAAUUAUUUUAGUUUUAUUAUUUUAGUUUUUUUUUAGGUUUUGGUUUUGCUAUAAGCCCGGGCGAAAUAGGCAUGUUACAAUUGUGAUUAAAUUGUUUCAAGGUAUGGCUACUUUGUUACUUCACAUAAUCUUUUACAUGUUUAUUAAGUUGAAUUAAUCGGUUGAAUCGACAUAGGAAUAUGCGAGAGAUAAUUUAAUUCAAUAAGUAUGUAUGUGCGAUAGCAUGUUUACUUAAUUAAAUCUGUUUAGUCGGUUGAAUUGGC